rnacentral:rRNA from 1 species
AUUGGACGCUGGCGGCAGGCCUAACACAUGCAAGUCGAGCGGAUGACGGGAGCUUGCUCCUUGAUUCAGCGGCGGACGGGUGAGUAAUGCCUAGGAAUCUGCCUGGUAGUGGGGGACAACGUUUCGAAAGGAACGCUAAUACCGCAUGCGUCCUACGGGAGAAAGCAGGGGACCUUCGGGCCUUGCGCUAUCAGAUGAGCCUAGGUCGGAUUAGCUUGUUGGUGAGGUAAUGGCUCACCAAGGCGACGAUCCGUAACUGGUCUGAGAGGAUGAUCAGUCACACUGGAACUGAGACACGGUCCAGACUCCUACGGGAGGCAGCAGUGGGGAAUAUUGGACAAUGGGCGAAAGCCUGAUCCAGCCAUGCCGCGUGUGUGAAGAAGGUCUUCGGAUUGUAAAGCACUUUAAGUUGGGAGGAAGGGUUGUAGAUUAAUACUCUGCAAUUUUGACGUUACCGACAGAAUAAGCACCGGCUAACUACGUGCCAGCCGCCGCAGUAACAC